rnacentral:rRNA from 1 species
UACGUAGGGAGCAAGCGUUGUCCGGAAUCAUUGGGCGUAAAGCGCGCGUAGGCGGCCCCAUAAGUCCGCUGUGAAAGUCAAAGGCUCAACCUUUGAAAGCCGGUGGAUACUGUGGGGCUAGAGUACGGAAGAGGGCGAGUGGAAUUCCUGGUGUAGCGGUGGAAUGCGCAGAUAUCAGGAGGAACACCAAUAGCGAAGGCAGCUCGCUGGGACGUCACUGACGCUGAGGCGCGAAAGCGUGGGGAGCGAACAGG